rnacentral:rRNA from 1 species
GACGAACGCUGGCGGCGUGCUUAACACAUGCAAGUCGAACGGAAAGGCCCUGCUUUUGUGGGGUGCUCGAGUGGCGAACGGGUGAGUAACACGUGAGUAACCUGCCCUUGACUUUGGGAUAACUUCAGGAAACUGGGGCUAAUACCGGAUAGGAGCUCCUGCUGCAUGGUGGGGGUUGGAAAGUUUCGGCGGUUGGGGAUGGACUCGCGGCUUAUCAGCUUGUUGGUGGGGUAGUGGCUUACCAAGGCUUUGACGGGUAGCCGGCCUGAGAGGGUGACCGGCCACAUUGGGACUGAGAUACGGCCCAGACUCCUACGGGAGGCAGCAGUGGGGAAUAUUGCACAAUGGGCGGAAGCCUGAUGCAGCAACGCCGCGUGAGGGAUGGCGGCCUUCGGGUUGUAAACCGCUUUCGCCUGUGAAGAAGCGAGAGUGACGGUAAUGGGUAAAGAAGCACCGGCUAACUACGUG